AGCGAACGCUGGCGGCAGGCCUAACACAUGCAAGUCGAACGCCCCUUCGGGGGAGUGGCGGACGGGUGAGUAACGCGUGGGAAUAUGCCCUAUGGUGCGGAACAACUGAGGGAAACUUCAGCUAAUACCGCAUGUGCCCUACGGGGGAAAGAUUUAUCGCCAUAGGAGUAGCCCGCGUUGGAUUAGCUAGUUGGUGGGGUAAUGGCUCACCAAGGCUACGAUCCAUAGCUGGUCUGAGAGGAUGAUCAGCCACACUGGGACUGAGACACGGCCCAGACUCCUACGGGAGGCAACAGUAGGGAAUCUUGCGCAAUGGGCGAAAGCCUGACGCAGCCAUGCCGCGUGAAUGAUGAAGGUCUUAGGAUUGUAAAAUUCUUUCACCGGGGACGAUAAUGACGGUACCCGGAGAAGAAGCUCCGGCUAACUUCGUGCCAGCCGCCGCGGUAAGAC
rnacentral:rRNA from 1 species